GACGAACGCUGGCGGCGUGCCUAAUACAUGCAAGUAGAACGCUGAAGGAGGAGCUUGCUCUUCUGGAUGAGUUGCGAACGGGUGAGUAACGCGUAGGUAACCUGCCUGGUAGCGGGGGAUAACUAUUGGAAACGAUAGCUAAUACCGCAUAAGAGUAGAUGUUGCAUGACAUUUGCUUAAAAGGUGCAAUUGCAUCACUACCAGAUGGACCUGCGUUGUAUUAGCUAGUUGGUGGGGUAACGGCUCACCAAGGCGACGAUACAUAGCCGACCUGAGAGGGUGAUCGGCCACACUGGGACUGAGACACGGCCCAGACUCCUACGGGAGGCAGCAGUAGGGAAUCUUCGGCAAUGGACGGAAGUCUGACCGAGCAACGCCGCGUGAGUGAAGAAGGUUUUCGGAUCGUAAAGCUCUGUUGUAAGAGAAGAACGAGUGUGAGAGUGGAAAGUUCACACUGUGACGGUAUCUUACCGGAAAGGGACGGCUAACUACGUG
rnacentral:rRNA from 1 species